AUUAAGAUGUCUGAUUAAAGUAAUAAACUGUAAAUUUAUUUAAGAAUAAAUAAUUCUCUUAAUA
rnacentral:tRNA from 1 species